rnacentral:rRNA from 1 species
CGGGACGGGUGAGUAACGCGUGGAUAACCUGCCUCACACAGGGGGAUAACAGUUAGAAAUGACUGCUAAUACCGCAUAAGCGCACGGUACCGCAUGGUACAGUGUGAAAAACUCCGGUGGUGUGAGAUGGAUCCGCGUCUGAUUAGGUAGUUGGUGAGGUAACGGCCCACCAAGCCGACGAUCAGUAGCCGACCUGAGAGGGUGACCGGCCACAUUGGGACUGAGACACGGCCCAA